rnacentral:lncRNA from 1 species
CAGGCCGUCGGACGGGACGAGCCCCGCUCUUCCCAGCCCGGAUUCAGCCCCACAGUUCCCAAUUCCGAUUCAACCCCGCUCUUCCCAGCCCGGGUUUAGCCCCACAGUUCCCAAUUCCCAAUCAACCCUGCUCUUCCCAGUCUGGAUUCAGCCCCACAGUUCCCAAUUCCGAAUCAACUCUGCUCUUCCCAGCCCGGGUUCAGCCCCACAGUUCCCAAUUCCCAAUCAACUCUGCACUUUCUCAGUCUGGACUCAGCCCCACAGUUCCCAAUUCCAAUUCAACCCUGCACUUUCUCAGUCUGGACUCAGUCCCACAGUUCCCAAUUCCCAAUCAACUCUGCUCUUCCCAGUCUGGAUUUGAUCCGCCCUCUCCAUCCCUGCAUUCCCCAUCCCGGCUCCAUCCCCGCAUUCCCUAUCCCAGCUCCAUCCCCGCAUUCCCCAGCCUCUCUCCAGCCUCUCUCUGGGCUAAUACAGGCUGGGAGACGAGGGCUGAAGGCUCUCAGUGCCCUCUUCUCCCUCUUUCCUCCUGGCUGCCGGGGAUUCCAGCCCCGCCGGUUCACUCACCUGCCGCAGGAUCUGCUGGGCCUGCACGGGCAGCCGGGCUUCCACCGAGGCCGUGGUGGCCAGCGUCCUCCUCACCCGCUCCUGGGGAAGCACAGCCAGGGCAGAGCAGCCUUAGGGCCUGGAGCAGGGGGGUGGGUGCCUGGGGAGGGCAGGGAGCAGCCCCAAACUGGGUCUGGGAGCCGGGCAGGGAAAGGGGGAUGUGCCCUGAGCAGGAAAACCCCUUUGCAGAGGGAUUUCUGGUUUGUGACAGCAAAUCUAAUCCCUAAAGGAGACCAGUUCUCCUGGCUGGCAUUUCUCCUGGCUCUCCCAUCACCCUGCAGCUGUAUUUUGGUUUCUGGCAGGUGGGACCCAUGGAGCACCAAGAGUUUUUGGGGCUGGGAGAGACGCGUGAGUACCUUGAGGUGCGGUGCCAAGCGGGAGAGGAACUGGACGCUUUCCCCCAGCUUUGCCUGCAGGACAGGAACGUGAGAAGGGCUCAGAAACCUCGCUGCCCCCUUCGAGGGGCACUGCUGCCACCAGCCCAGCACGGACUCACCACCAAAGCCUCCUGCGCCUGCACCGU